rnacentral:rRNA from 1 species
UACCAGCACCCCGAGUGGUCGGGACGUUUUAUUGGGCCUAAAGCAUCCGUAGCCGGUUCUACAAGUCUUCCGUCAAAUCCAACUGCUUAACAGGUGGGCUGCGGAAGAUACUAUAGAGCUAGGAGGCGGGAGAGGCAAGCGGUACUCGAUGGGUAGGGGUAAAAUCCGUUGAUCCAUUGAAGACCACCAGUGGCGAAGGCGGCUUGCCAGAACGCGCUCGACGGUGAAGGAUGAAAGCUGGGGGAGCAAACCGG